rnacentral:rRNA from 1 species
UACGGGGGGGGUAAGCGUUGUUCGGAAUUACUGGGCGUAAAGGGCUCGUAGGCGGCCAACUAAGUCAUACGUGAAAUCCCUCAGCUUAACUGGGGAACUGCGUGUGAUACUGGAUGGCUUGGAUUUGGGAGAGGGAUGCGGAAUUCCAGGUGUAGUGGUGAAAUACGUAGAGAUUGGGAAGAACACCAGUGGCGAAGGCGGCUAUCUGGACGGUUUCUGACGCUGAGGUGCGAAAGCGUGGGGAGCAAACAGG